GAUGAACGCUGGCGGCGUGCCUAAUACAUGCAAGUCGAGCGAACGGACGAGAAGCUUGCUUCUCUGAUGUUAGCGGCGGACGGGUGAGUAACACGUGGAUAACCUACCUAUAAGACUGGGAUAACUUCGGGAAACCGGAGCUAAUACCUGAUGAUAUUUUGAACCGCAUGGUUCAAAAGUGAAAGACGUUCUUGCUGUCACUUAUAGAUGUAUCCGCGCUGCAUUAGCUAGUUGGUAAGGUAACGGCUUACCAAGGCAACGAUGCAUAGCCGACCUGAGAGGGUGAUCGGCCACACUGGAACUGAGACACGGUCCAGAAUCCUACGGGAGGCAGCAGUAGGGAAUCUUCCGCAAUGGGCGAAAGCCUGACGGAGCAACGCCGCGUGAGUGAUGAAGGUAUUCGGAUCGUAAAACUCUGUUAGUAGGGAAGAACAUAUGUGUAAGUAACUGUGCACAUCUUGACGGUACCUAAUCAGAAAGCCACGGAUAACUACGUG
rnacentral:rRNA from 1 species